AACGGAUAGCAAGUUCUUUUUCAAAUGUAGAACAAGAAGCACGUCAUUUAAUUUAAAUUUUCCUUCUUUUGACUCCAUGAUUAGAGUAUCGCGAGGCUUGAUAUGUGGGAUGGUUGUCAUAAUCAAAGGGAUUGUAGUUCCUGACAGAUAUUUGGGAUCUUCUAUAGUAACUUCUACUCUCCUAUCAGUUUUGAGAUAAAAC
rnacentral:lncRNA from 1 species